rnacentral:rRNA from 1 species
UACGGAGGAUCCAAGCGUUAUCCGGAAUUAUUGGGCGUAAAGGGCUCGUAGGCGGUCCGUCAAGUCGGUUGUGAAACCUCAGGGCUCAACCCUGAGCUUGCAGUCGAUACUGGCGGACUUGAGGCAGGUAGGGGAGAGUGGAAUUCCCGGUGUAGCGGUGAAAUGCGCAGAUAUCGGGAGGAACACCAGUAGCGAAGGCGGCUCUCUGGGCCUGUCCUGACGCUGAGGAGCGAAAGCGUGGGUAGCAAACAGG